CUGGCGGCGUGCCUAAUACAUGCAAGUCGAACGGUCUUUCUAUGGAAGCUUGCUUCCACUGAGAAGAUAGUGGCGAACGGGUGAGUAACGACGUGGGUAACCUGCCCAUAAGAGGGGGAUAACAUCCGGAAACGGGUGCUAAUACCGCAUAGGUUUUCUUGAUCGCAUGAUUGAGAAAGGAAAGACGGCCUUUGUGCUGUCGCUUAUGGAUGGACCCGCGGCGUAUUAGUUAGUUGGUGAGGUAACGGCUCACCAAGACGAUGAUACGUAGCCGACCUGAGAGGGUGAUCGGCCACAUUGGGACUGAGACACGGCCCAAACUCCUACGGGAGGCAGCAGUAGGGAAUCUUCCGCAAGUGGACGAAAGUCUGACGGAGCAACGCCGCGUGAGUGAAGAAAAGGUUUUCGGAUCGUAAAACUCUGUUGUCAGAGAAGAACAAGUUGGAGAGUAACUGCUCCAGCCUUGACGGUAUCUGACCAGAAAGCCACGGCUAACUACGUGCCAGCCGCCGC
rnacentral:rRNA from 1 species